AGAACUCCGCGAGAAACUGUGAGAGAUCACUGCACCACUCUCUCACUAUAUGAAUCGGAAAUUUUGUUUGUUACUUCUAUUUUAAGAUACUGAUUGUAUUGAUUCCUUCUCUGUUUUUGUAACUUACAGACACAAGACCAGACUCCACAUUGGACAAUUGGUGAAGGAUACGUCGGAUAAACUUAAACAAGCUAGUGAAAUUGAUCAUCAUGUUGAUGUUAAUCCUGUAUUCAGUGCUUCUGUUUUAGUUGAGAUGAUGGAACCUGAUGGGUCUUCAACAAUUUCGAUGAUGAGUGGAGAAGGAGAAUCUUUGUCAGCUCAAUUGGCUCAUGAGGUUAUGGCUAUUCAGCUUGCUGUUUUUCUAGCAUCCACAUGUCAUAUUCUGCUGGUGGUGUCGGAGGGAGUCCAUGAUGACAAGUUGUGGCAUUUGAUGUCAACGGUAUGUACAUUGCUCUAAGUUUGCUUGUGAUUCUUGCAGAUGCUUCAAUGUUGUGUUUAAUGCCUGUGUGAUGAUUUCAUGUUAUGCUGAAGUAUGCAGUCAUCUGAAAAACUGUUGUGCCUAUUGGUUUCAUCUUUUAUUAUUUA